UUACAAACAAAAGUAUAAACAAAAAUAAACAGACGUGUACAUGUACAUCUGUAACUAAAACUUUUGACAAUUAAUAAGAGAUCCAUUAAGUAUUGAGGAAAAGUGUUUUUUUCCCCUGUAAUUAAACUAAUGUUAAUUCAGAAUUUAUUGCGAUAUUUUUAUUAUUGGAAAAAUGUAACAGGGUUAUAAUCACAAUAAUUAAAC
rnacentral:lncRNA from 1 species